ACGUAGGUGGCAAGCGUUGUCCGGAUUUAUUGGGCGUAAAGCGAGCGCAGGCGGAAGAAUAAGUCUGAUGUGAAAGCCCUCGGCUUAACCGAGGAACUGCAUCGGAAACUGUUUUUCUUGAGUGCAGAAGAGGAGAGUGGAACUCCAUGUGUAGCGGUGGAAUGCGUAGAUAUAUGGAAGAACACCAGUGGCGAAGGCGGCUCUCUGGUCUGCAACUGACGCUGAGGCUCGAAAGCAUUGCUAGCGAACAGGAAUAGAUACCCUGGUAGUCCAUGCCGUAAACGAUGAGUGCUAAGUGUGGAGGUUUCCGCCUCUCAGUGCUGCAGCUAACGCAUUAAGCACUCCGCCUGUGGAGUACGACCGCAAGGUUG
rnacentral:rRNA from 1 species